rnacentral:rRNA from 1 species
ACGAACGCUGGCGGCGUGGAUAAGACAUGCAAGUCGAACGGAGUAUUACUUGUAGCAAUACGAGUGAUGCUCAGUGGCGCAAGGGUGCGUAACACGUGAGUAAUCUACCGAAGAGUGAAGAAUAGCUCGCCGAAAGGCGAAUUAAUACUGCAUACGACCGAAGUAGGCAUCUACCAAAGGUCAAAGUCGGGGCAACCUGACGCUCUUUGAUGAACUCGCGGCCUAUCAGCUAGUUGGCGGGGUAAAAGCCCACCAAGGCUAUGACGGGUAGCUGGUCUGAGAGGACGACCAGCCACACUGGAACUGAGGCACGGUCCAGACACCUACGGGUGGCAGCAGUCGAGAAUUUUUCUCAAUGGGGGAAACCCUGAAGGAGCGACGCCGCGUGGAGGACGAAGGUCUUCGGAUUGUAAACUCCUGUCAUUGGUGAACAAAGCCUUCGGUUAACUGCCGACGGGAUUGCUAGUAGCCAAAGAGGAAGAGACGGCUAACUCUGUGCCAGCAGCCGCGGUAAUACAGAGGGUCUCAAGCGUUGUUCGGAAUUAUUGGGCGUAAAGGGUGCGUAGGCGGCAGGGUAAGUUAGAUGUGAAAUACCGGUGCUUAACAUCGGAAUUGCAUUUAAGACUGCCUUGCUUGAGCAUUAGAGAGGAGACUGGAAUUUACGGUGUAGCAGUGAAAUGCGUAGAUAUCGUAAGCGGAAGACCAGUGGCGAAGGCGAGUCUCUGGACUAACAUGCCUGACGCUGAGGCACGAAAGCUAGGGGAGCAAACAGGAUUAGAUACCCCUGGUAGUCCCUAGCCGUAAACGGUGCGUGCUUGGCUGUGAGCAGGAUCGACCCUUUUUCGGCGGAGCCAACGCGUUAAACGCAGCCGCCUGGGAAGUACGGAUCGCAAGAUUAAAACUCAAAGAAAUUGACGGGGGCCCUGCACAAGCGGUGGAGUAUGUGGCUCAAUUCGAUGCAACGCGAAGAACCUUACCUGGCCUUGACAUGCACAUAGUAGAAGGGUGAAAGCCUGACGAGGUAGCAAUACCAGUGUGCACAGGUGCUGCAUGGCUGUCGUCAGCUCGUGUCGUGAGAUGUUGGGUUAAGUCCCGCAACGAGCGCAACCCCUGUGUCCUGUUGCCCCCCGGUCGUAAGACUGGAGCACUCUGGACAGACUGCCUCGCUUAAACGAGGAGGAAGGUGGGGAUGACGUCAAGUCAGUAUGGCCCUUACGGCCAGGGCUGCACACGUACUACAAUGCCCGGCACAAAGGGAAGCGAGACUGUAAAGUGGAGCAAAUCCCCAAAAACCGGGCCCAGUUCAGAUUGUCGUCUGCAACUCGACGGCAUGAAGCUGGAAUCGCUAGUAAUGGCGCAUCAGCUACGGCGCCGUGAAUACGUUCCCAGGCCUUGUACACACCGCCCGUCACAUCAUGAAAGCCGUUUGUAACCCGAAGUCACCGUAUCAACCGCAAGGGGAGAGGUGCCGAAGGUAUGGAUG